GUUCUUUUGUUUAUAUAAAAGAUCUGGCCUGCCCAAUGAUUAAUUUUUAAUGGCUGCAGUAUUUUGACUGUACAAAGGUAGCAUAAUCAUUUGUCUUUUAAUUGAAGUCUGGUAUGAAUGGUUGGAUGAGAAAUUUACUUUCUUUAUUAUAUAUAUAAAAUUUGAUUUACCAAUUAAAAAGUUGGUAUUUAUUUAGAGGACGAGAAGACCCUAUAGAACUUUACUCUCAUUUAGGUGAAAAAUUUAUGGCACAUGACUGUUUUUCAUUUAAAAGGGAGUUUCAUUGGGGUGAUGAAAAAAAAUUAAUAACUUUUUUUAAAAUUUUCACUUUUUUGUGUUCUAUUGAUCCUUUAUUAUGGAUAAUAAGAUUAAGUUACCUUAGGGAUAACAGCGUUAUUAUUUUGGAGAGUUCAUAUCGAUAAAAUAGUUUGCGACCUCGAUGUUGGAUUAAAAUUAGGUUCAGGAGCAGAAUUUUGUUUUUCUAGGUCUGUUCGACCUUUAAAUUUUUACA
rnacentral:rRNA from 1 species